UACGUAGGGGGCAAGCGUUGUCCGGAUUUAUUGGGCGUAAAGAGCGUGUAGGCGGCCUGGCAGGUCAGCUGUGAAAACUCGAGGCUCAACCUCGAGACGUCGGUUGAAACCACUUGGCUAGAGUCCGGAAGAGGAGUGUGGAAUUCCCGGUGUAGCGGUGAAAUGCGCAGAUAUCGGGAAGAACACCCGUGGCGAAGGCGGCUCUCUGGGACGGUACUGACGCUGAGGCGCGAAAGCGUGGGGAGCGAACAGG
rnacentral:rRNA from 1 species